GGAAGAGAAAGCUCUGGGGUAGAGCUAGGAGCUAUCCCUAGCUAAAGACAGCCAUGUUCUACUUUGGUCUGGGUUGUACUUGAGCUAACAAAUUGCAGUCUUGAAAGCCACUGGAUUUGGUGCUCAGUCCCUCGGAAAACACUCUAGCUACACUCUGACAAGUCUCCACUGGACCAUGCUAGUGUGAGAGUCACUUGAAACCUCCUUACCUGCACGCCUCAUCUUCUUUGCUUGUUACAGUCACUUUCAAGUUUGUAUCCAUGGCAAACUAGUCCAUGUUCUACUUACAAGUUGAGAAAGGCCAAGAUUCUCAUUCUUAGAAUUCCUCUGUGAAUCCCCUAGAUACCAGCAUGUAUGAUGAGCAAGCUUCCAUCCUCUCAUCCUUACAGAGAUGAGAUAUGUCCUCAAUAUGUCUUGGAAAAAUUACAGGGACUUUGUAAUCCUCUGUAUAUUAGCCAGCCAGAAAGUCCCUAUGGGAAGGGAGAAAGAAAGAAGAAGGGUCCCUGAGUUGAAGCCACAAUGCAAGUCUUCUGCCCAGGCCAAUGUUUCAUGAUGAACUGUGUAGAAGUAGAGAGCCAGCAUCUCAGGAUCCAGUCUCACCUCACAGACAGCAAGAGAGAACUGCCUUAAGAAGACAAGGAUUUAAUUGUUAGAACAAUGCCAAAGACAUGAUGUGCCACAUAAUAUGAAGACCAGACCAGUUUCUUCUAUUUCUGUAUACUUGCUCUCUUUGAUGGUAAAGAUAUACUCAGACUUGACUUUUAAGACUUACUAGUCUUGAAGAAAAAGUAAAGAUGGAUCAAUAACUCAUAAGCAGUGACCAACUGUCAAAACCUCAAAACUACAGCAGUGACCUUAGCAUCACACACUCAGGUAUCUCUCCUUGCCUUCUGUGUAGCAUCAGCCACACGGCAAUGAACACAAUGGAGGGGGGGAGACGGAAGAUUCUACAACUUCCAGAAAAGCAAAAUGUAUCCAAAUCCCAUAUGCUUAUUGUAAAUCUGCCUUAGGGAUCGGUGGUACAUGAAGCUGGAGAAAAGCGAGGGCAAGAAAUAUACUACAGCAACAGAGAAGUAGCAACUGAAUAUAGUAGUAAUAUUCUACUGUUGCUGACUUCAGUGCCAACAUGAGCACUUUCCAUUUCUGAAACGCCAAAUAAGAUAAAAAGAGGCCUCACUGAAGAACAAACAUGGCCUACUGUCUCCAAACUGGGACUCAGGGCUAACUCACAGUGGUGGGGGCCUGGUUGUUCAAUUAAAUGCUUAGUUCUCAGUUCUCAUGUUUCAUUGACCUAGCAGCAGCAUUUGAAGCUGCAGGUAAUGUCUUUGUCUGGACCCUGAUCUUCUAGAACAUCUCUCUCUUUCUUUUCCUUUAUCCUCCUGUUAAUCUCUCUUCAGUUUCUUUAGAUAAGCUUCCCCCUUGCCCUUCAGCUCUUCAGAAAUGCAAACCCCAAGGCUCUGUCAUGUGUUUCUCUGCUCCAUAUUUCAGUAUACUCUUUUGAGAAUCACCUCCAAUCUCCUGGCUUUCAAUAUCAGCUAAGAUCUCUGCUGGUAGCUGGUGUACACGUCCCUACCAUGUAUACAGUGAAAAGUUUGUAAGCAUUAAGGCAAAUGCUGUUGCGUUAAGGUUUCAGAUAGAAGAGAAUUAAAUAAAU
rnacentral:lncRNA from 1 species